CUUUUUGAUUUGUCGCAUAUGCGCGCAUAUGCGAGCGCAUAUGCGACCAGGCGGUGACCCCCCAUCGCAUAUUUGGGGGGUCGCAUAUUUUUGGGUUUAGCCGGAUCCGGGUCGGAUCCGGAUAAACCCGAUCCGUUAACCCUAUAAAAUAAAAAACUUUAAUAGAAUUGUAUUAUUCUAUUAAAACUUAAGGACCUAACUAAAAAUACCCAUUUAAAUAAAAAAUACUAAAAAGUAAAAACCCUAAAUCGUGAAAUCUAAAAUCGGGGGUGAAUCCUUGAAGUCGGCCACCUGAAGAGUGAAGACCUGACCGGAAAUCGGGACUAGCACUACGCCUGAAGUCUGACCGCCUAGCGCCGCGCCUGAAGUCGGAACCGCCUAGCGAGCCUUCCACUGCUGCGAGCCUUCCACUGCUGCGUUUUUCUACACAUAGUUAGGUGAUUUUCAGAGUGGUUUUAAAUUUUAAAUUCAUAAUCAGAUUAUGAAUAUAAAUUUAUAUCAAUGAAAUAUAAAUUUGAAGAUGACAUCGAUUAUAUUAGGAAUUUCAGAUUGGGAAUUUAAUCUGAAAUUAAAUCGGGAAUUGAGGAAUUCAGAGCUAACAUCUGAAUUUUUUCCCUUCAAUUUCACAUAUUAAUAUCUUGAACUAUUUUCUUAAAUUUCAGACUUAAGAACCAUGGAUGAUGGAGAAGAUGAGCCAAUGAAUGUUUUUGAUGAAAAUGUGGAAUUGGAUGACGAGGGAAAUAAGAAAUUCAAAUGGCAUCCAUUAACAACUGAAGAAGAAAAAACAAGCCCAUUGAUGAGACCAAAAUCAAAUGAUCCGGCUUGGAAAUAUGGGGUUAUGGUGAAUAAAGACUCAAACAAGGUGAAAUGUCUUUUCUGCCAUUUCAUUUCGAAAGCAGGGAUUGCUCGGUUGAAAGGGCAUAUCAUUGGAGGCGACCGCAAUUGUGUGAAGUGCCUAAAAUCAACUAAAUUUGUUCGUAAUGAAGUGCUUCAGUAUGAGAAUACGAGGAAGGCUAAAGCAAUGGCAGUGAAAAUGUCUAAGAAAGUUGUGGAAGAAGAAUCUAGUGAUGAUGAUGAUGAUGUAUUGAUAGUUGAAGAUAAUUCUGCACUUCCGAAGAGAGCAAAGAAGCGGUCAACUAUUGUGAAGCCGUCAAUAGGUUCAUCAUCAGGUUCGAACCGUUCGAUCAACGCGGCCGUAGGUGCAUUGUCCUUGAAAGAAGGACAGAAAUUAAGUGAUAUUGUGAGAUCUAGAAUGGGAGCAAAACAACCAUUAAUUGUUGAGCAGUUGAAAAAAGAGGAAAGGCUUAUUGUUGAUAUAUGUGUGGCGAAAUUCUUCUACAACGCCGGCAUCCCUUUCAAUGUACGAGAUUGUUUCGAUUUCCACGUUAUGUUGGAAGCUGUUGGAAGGUAUGGUUGGGGUUAUACACCUCCAACUAUCAGUAGAUUACGCAGCUCUCUUCUAGAAGGUGUGGUUACAGAAAUUGAUGAAAUGAAGAAAGACCACGAAAAAUGUUGGCGUCUAUCUGGUUGUUCACUCAUGUCUGAUGGCUGGACGGAUAAGAGGGGAAGAUCAAUUAUAAACUUUAUAGUGAAUUCAAUCAAGGGUUCAUUCUAUUUAUACUCUAUUGACGCUUCAGCGGAAACGAAGACUGCCGAUUACAUUGCAUCUACCUUAGACAAAGCGAUGCAAAGGAUAGGAGUCAAAAAUGUGGUUCAAAUUUGUACUGAUAAUGCGACCAACUACGUUAAAGCUGGGGAGAAACUAAUGGAGAAAUAUGAUCAUUUGUAUUGGACCCCUUGUGUCGCCCACUGUAUUGAUUUGAUGUUAGAAGACAUUGGGAAGAUUAGCUCUCUGAAGAAUGCUAUUGUGAUGGGUCGUAAGAUCACAAACUUCAUUUACAAUCAUUCACUGAUACAUUGCGAGUUUUUGAAAAAGUCCAACAACAGAGAGUUAGUCCGUUGUGGGGUUACUCGAUUUGCUACAUCAUUUCUCACCCUACAGAGCAUUAAGAAACAUCGAGAUGCCUUAAGUGCAUUAGAUUGGCGUAAAUGGAUUGAAGUUGGGAUUGGACAACAGAUUCACGGUCAUAUCUUCAACAGUAUUUUCUGGAAAAAUUUGGAUGAUUGUAUGGCAGCUUCUGAACCAUUGGUGAUAUUGUUGAGAUUGGUUGAUGAAGAUAGUAAACCAUCAAUGGCAGAGGUCAUUCCUCGUUUGGAAGUUGCAAGAAAAAGAAUUGAAACUCACUUCGCAAGUAAGCCGGUGUUGUUGACUAAGCUAAAGGCGAUUUUCACCAAGCGUUGGGACAAACAUUUUCAGAAGUCUUUGUUUGGAGCUGGUGCAUUUCUAAACCCCCAUUUUUACUACGAUUUGAAGGAGGGGUAAGCUUUUUAGCCUUUUUGUUUAAACUUAAAGGUUUCAACUUUCAACUUUCGAAGACUUAAUUGCUUACUUUUCAAAUAGAUCUAGAGAAGGGCUUAUGAAGGCACUAAGAUAUGAAAAAGAUUUCAGAAAUUGUAUGCUAAGAAUGACACCUCUUGAAGAGCAUUCAGAAAUCAUGGAACAACUAAUUUGUUACAAGAAUAGAACAGGUGAUUUCUCAAUGAAGGUGGCCAUCGACACGCUUCCAACAACGGAUCCUAGUAAGUGAUUUCAGAAUUUAAGAUUCAAUUAUUAAAAUCUUACUUAGGCAGUUAGGGCCUUAGGGGUGUCACUCACUAUGUUUGAUUUCAGUAAAUUGGUGGUCUAACUUCGGGGUGUCAACUCCGGAAUUGAUGAUGUUGGCAACGAGGAUCAUAAGUCUUACUACGACAGCUUCUAGUUGUGAGAGAAACUGGAGCACUUUCGAUUUUGUAAGUACUUGCGACUUUGAAUUCAAAAUCAAGUAUGCUUUUGACCUUCUGUGAUGUAAAUGAAAUUUCAAGUUAUUUUUUUUCAUCAGAUUCACACCAAAAGAAGAAAUCGUUUGGAAGUUGAUCGGUUGCACAAGUUGGUGUAUAUUAACUACAACGAACGUUUGAAAGAUCGAUUUCUGAAAAUAAAUCGAACAGACGAUAAGACCUAUGAUUCCAUUGCUAUAAGUGAUAUCAAUUACUCUAGUGAAUGGGUAACGGGUGUCGAUGGAGCAUCUGGUGAAUUUGUCUACGAAGAUGGUGGUUUGACAUGGACUAAUGUAUGGGAAGCUAGUGGUGUGCCCGAGCAUGAAGGACCAUCAACAAGAGCAAGAAGAAAUGACGAGCAUGAAGAUGAUGGUGAGUUCUUGAUGGAUCCGCACUUGAAUGACGUCGAAGAUGAACUUGACGACACACUAGUGUAGUUAGAACUUAGAACUAAGUGUUUGCAUUACACUUGUACUUUGAUGUUUGAAAGUUGAAACUAAUAGUUUUGUUGUUUUGUAUGUUUCUUUAAGUUUUUGUGAUUUUAAGAGUUUAAGUAUCAUUAGUUACUAUAUUAUUUCAUUUAUGAUUUUUAUUAUGACUUAUAAUAUCAGGGAUUUAUUUAAAAUAUGGAAAAUACAGGGGGUAUAUUGAAAAAAAAAUAAAAAAAAUACUAAAAAAAAAAAUUGCGCAUAUUGGACCGCAUAU
rnacentral:lncRNA from 1 species